AAAAAAAAAUGCACACUUUCAGGUCCCCAAUACCCCUUGGAAAGCAAAGUCAUGGCCCUGACCCUUAAGUUACACUUCCACUCCCUGUACUUGUGUGGUGGCCAACACUCAUGGCGCCUUUGCUCACUGACCCUGGAAUAAUCAGCCAAAGGCACAUUCUCAGCCUGGCCCUCCUGGUAGUCAGACUGAUUAAUGGGUAUUGGGAGAGAGGUCAAAGCUAGAGAAGAGGCAAUUCCUGUGUACUCACCACAGAUACUGUUUGAGGCGGGGUGAGGAAGGUCCUUUGAGGUUCAGUCCAGAAUUCCUCAGAAGGGCUUGACAACUCUCCUGCACCACCUUGAGAGUCCUCUGUUAAGAAAUCUCUUACCAGGAGCACCUGAGUGGCUCAGUGGGUUAAGUGUCAACCCUUGUUUUUGGCUCAGGUCAUGAUCUCAGGGUCGUGAGAUCGAACCCUAUGUUAGGCUCUGCACUCAGCACGGAGUCUGCUUCAGAUUCUCUCUCUCCCUUUGCCUCUCCUGCUGGUGCUCUUCUGACUCUCAUAUAAAUAAAUACAUAAUGUUUAAAAAGAAAAGAAAAGAAAAGAAAAGAAAUGUCUUACACCAUGUUGCAAGAAAAGAAAAGAAAAGAAAAGAAAUGUCUUACACCAUGUUGCCAGAGAUCUGAGGCUCUACUGAAAAAUUAGAUUCCAGUGUAACCUCUCCAGCUGCAAAGUGAAUGACGUCUAGUGCGAUGCUUUUUCUAAAGCCUAAUCAGUUCCCACAGUCACAGAAUUAGAGGGAAAGAAAGGAAGAAAAAAGAAGAUAGAUGGGUUUGGCAGAAGGGCUGCUGGCUCUUCCUGGAAUCGCGUUUUCCUGGUGCUUGCUUUGGCUCCCGGCCACCAGCUGGCCUGUGGCGGGAGCAGAGUCCACCAUGAAGAGUGGACUUCGCAGCAGAUGCUGCUGGUGUCCUGUCUCCUCUCCUCUGCAGGCACGGUCCCGUGGACUCCCAGGGUCUGGCUCCGCCCUUGGAGCUGAUGACCCUGGAAGCCCGCUUUCCAGCAGGAAUUGUGGGGGGAAAGCCCAGCCUCUUUGGCCGCGGAGGGGGACAGCUCUGAGGCUUGUGUCUGCAGCCACCAGAGGCUCCAGCAGGCCAGAGCCUCAAGUGCUUACGGUCAAAGCUGGCUUAUCGACGCGGUGUAUUCUAGCUUGCUUCUCGCCUUCCACCCCCUCGGGCUCCUACCCUCCGCUCCUCACAUUCAAAUCCUUAUCUGCCAGCACCAGGCGAGCAAGCUCCUAGGUGUUCAAGUCGCCAGGUAAAUGGUUCCAUCAGGGACACUGCGCUCCAAGAGGAUGUCCUGCCUUCUCCCUGCAUCUUGUCUGGCCAAAGGCAAAACAAACCAGCGGCCCGAAACAAGCCGGAGCAACAACAAUAAGAAAACCAGUGUCACCUGUUAUGUUUCCCACAGUGGACUUAUCGUCAUUGUCUGGAUUGGGCUUUGCAACGUAUUAGUUUUGAUGUGGCUGGCUUCCAAAACUCGGUUCCAGGCAGGAUUCCAGCCAUCCUGCCUACUAAUUCUUAACGGGCAGUUUGCACGAGCUUCGUGAUUCUUGACAUCACGCCCAAGCCCGCUGGGCCAGGACAAAAAGGGGGUUCUUCCGUGAGGCGUCCGGAAUUACUUGCAGCCCCCCUUCCCCACCCGUACCCCGACCUGGUUCUGGUGAACCGCUUCUCAUUUUGCACGUGCAAUUAUUUUCUCUCUGUCCGUAUCAAUACUCUGUGCUGAUAAAGAUUAAAAGGGGCAAAACAGAGCUUGAGAGCUUUACAACUCCUACCGGAGUAGCAAUGUAUUUUCCUAUCUGUCCGUUUGAUUGGAAAUUUAAAUCAUCUCACAUUUUAGGAAAUUGGUAGCCUCAGAAGAUACGGAAUCUGACAGUUUAUGGCUCAAUCUGCGCCUUGCUGUCUUUAAAGGAAAGCUAGUAAAAAUUGAAAUUAAGGAAAACAAAUAAAUACCAUAGUCCUCUGAUGGUGCAUUUUAUAAUGAUCACAUCUGCUGCAAAGCGCCUGAAAAAUGGCUCUGGACGGCUGCCGGAGCUGCAGAAUGGCUCACGCGGUGAAGAGGAGCGGAGCAGGAGAGGAUCUGGGAUAA
rnacentral:lncRNA from 1 species